CCUACGGGAGGCAGCAGUGAGGAAUAUUGGUCAAUGGACGGAAGUCUGAACCAGCCAUGCCGCGUGCAGGAAGACGGCUCUAUGAGUUGUAAACUGCUUUUGUACAAAGGUAAAACUGCAUACGUGUAUUCAGCUGAAAGUACUGUACGAAUAACGAUCGGCUAACUCCGUGCCAUCAGCCGCGGUAAGACGGAGGAUCCAAGCGUUAUCCGGAUUUAUUGGGUUUAAAGGGUCCGUAGGCGGAUGGAUAAGUUAGAGGUGAAAUGUCGGAGCUUAACUCGGGAACUGCCUUUAAUACUGUUGAUCUAGAGAAUAGAUGAGGUAGGCGGAAUGUAUGGUGUAGCGGUGAAAUGCUUAGAGAUCAUACAGAACACCGAUUGCGAAGGCAGCUUACCAAUCUAUAUCUGACGUUGAGGCACGAAAGCGUGGGGAGCAAACAGGAUUAGAUACCCGGGUAGUC
rnacentral:rRNA from 1 species